GGCUGGUUAGCUCAUUCGGUAGAGCGUGGUGCUGACAACGCCAAGGUCAAGGGUUCGAAUCCUCUUACUGGCCA